GACGAACGCUGGCGGCGUGCUUAACACAUGCAAGUCGAACGGUGAAGCGCCUUCCUUUUUGGUGGGUGUGGAUGAGUGGCGAACGGGUGAGUAACACGUGAGUAACCUGCCCCCUUCUUCUGGAUAACCGCAUGAAAGUGUGGCUAAUACGGGAUAUUCUGGGUCUGUCGCAUGAUGGGUCUGGGAAAGAUAUUGUUUCGGUGGGGGAUGGGCUCGCGGCCUAUCAGCUUGUUGGUGGGGUGAUGGCCUACCAAGGCGGUGACGGGUAGCCGGCCUGAGAGGGUGGACGGUCACACUGGGACUGAGACACGGCCCAGACUCCUACGGGAGGCAGCAGUGGGGAAUACUGCACAAUGGGCGCAAGCCUGAUGCAGCGACGCCGCGUGAGGGAUGGAGGCCUUCGGGUUGUGAACCUCUUUCGCCAGUGAAGCAGGCCUGCCUCGUUUGUGGGUGGGUUGACGGUAGCUGGAUAAGAAGCGCCGGCUAACUACGUG
rnacentral:rRNA from 1 species